AGCUCCUUUGUUUUGGAGGUGUUGAGGAGCAGGGAGCCAGCGAAGGGUUUGUAAAACCGGGGCCACAGAUUCACUCCUCCUGGUUUUGGUCAGCAGACCAGCUGCAGCAUUUUGUUUGCUCUGCUGCAACCCUGAGUACAAAGAGUUAAAUAAUCUAAAUGUGAUGAAUGAUUGGAUCAAAAUCAGGCAGAGGAAGAUCAGAUUUGAUCUUAGCAAGGAUCCUCAGCUGGAAGAAACUGGCUUUGAUAGCAGCGCUAACAUGCUAAUCAACUCUAACACAGGAUCAACAAUCACACCCAGAGUUUUCACAAAUGGACGACAGCAGGAGGACGGGGGACCGACCACACCGUCACGUCCAGGAGAGGACGGCACUGACCAAACAUACAAUCUCAGUUUUUAUUAUUUGGGUCCAGAAAAUGUCUGAACAUCCUGAAGACGAUCCUGGAACAUCGGCCCAGCAGACUGGAGGUCAUGUUGAGGCAGAAAGAUCUGAACGGAUCUGCAGAGCAGCAGAAAGAGACUUUGUGCUUUU